GCGCGGCUUAACAUGCAAGUCGAACGGUGAAGCCAAGCUUGCUUGGUGGAUCAGUGGCGAACGGGUGAGUAACACGUGAGCAACCUGCCCUGGACUCUGGGAUAAGCGCUGGAAACGGUGUCUAAUACUGGAUAUGAGGCGUGAUCGCAUGGUCAUGUUUGGAAAGAUUUUUCGGUCUGGGAUGGGCUCGCGGCCUAUCAGCUUGUUGGUGAGGUAAUGGCUCACCAAGGCGUCGACGGGUAGCCGGCCUGAGAGGGUGACCGGCCACACUGGGACUGAGACACGGCCCAAACUCCUACGGGAGGCAGCAGUGGGGAAUAUUGCACAAUGGGCGCAAGCCUGAUGCAGCAACGCCGCGUGAGGGAUGACGGCCUUCGGGUUGUAAACCUCUUUUAGCAGGGAAGAAGCGUGAGUGACGGUACCUGCAGAAAAAGCGCCGGCUAACUACGUGCCAGCAGCCGCGGUAAUACGUAGGGCGCAAGCGUUAUCCGGAAUUAUUGGGCGUAAAGAGCUCGUAGGCGGUUUGUCGCGUCUGCUGUGAAAUCCCGAGGCUCAACCUCGGGCCUGCAGUGGGUACGGGCAGACUAGAGUGCGGUAGGGGAGAUUGGAAUUCCUGGAGUAGCGGUGGAAUGCGCAGAUAUCAGGAGGAACACCGAUGGCGAAUGCAGAUCUCUGGGCCGUAACUGACGCUGAGGAGCGAAAGGGUGGGGAGCAAACAGGCUUAGAUACCCUGGUAGUCCACCCCGUAAACGUUGGGAACUAGUUGUGGGGACCAUUCCACGGUUUCCGUGACGCAGCUAACGCAUUACGUUCCCCGCCGGUGGGAGUACAGCCGCAGGGCUAAAACUCAAAGGAAUUGACGGGGACCCGCACAAACGGCGGAACAUGCGGAUUAAUUCGAUGCAACGCGAAGAACCUUACNNAGGCUUGACCUACACNACAACACCGUAGAAAGANAGGACUCUUUGGACACUGNNGAACAGGUGGUGCAUGGUUGUCCGUCAGCUCGUGUCGUGAGAUGNUGGGUUAAGUCCCGCAACNAGCGCAACCUCCGUUCAUGUUGCCAGCANGUANUGUUGGGAACUCAUGGGAUACUGCCGGGAUCACUCGGAAGAAAGGGGGGAUGACGUCANNNAUNUGCCCUUAGUNUGGGUUUNGCAUGCUAAAUGCCCGUAAAAGGGCUGCAAACCGUAGGUGGACCAAUCCAAAAACC
rnacentral:rRNA from 1 species